rnacentral:rRNA from 1 species
CCUACGGGAGGCAGCAGUGGGGAAUAUUGGGCAAUGGACGCAAGCCUGACCCAGCAACGCCGCGUGCAGGAAGACGGCUCUAUGAGUUGUAAACUGCUUUUGUACGAGGGUAAAUCCCGAUACGUGUAUCGGGUUGAAAGUAUCGUACGAAUAAGGAUCGGCUAACUCCGUGCCAGCAGCCGCGGUAAUACGGAGGAUUCAAGCGUUAUCCGGAUUUAUUGGGUUUAAAGGGUGCGUAGGCGGUUCGAUAAGUUAGUGGUGAAAGCCCGGGGCUCAACUCCGGCAUUGCAUUUGAUACUGUGUGGCUAGAGUGUAGCUGCGGUAGGCGGAAUGCAUGGUGUAGCGGUGAAAUGCAUAGAGAUCAUACAGAACACCGAUUGCGAAGGCAGCUUACCAAGCUACUUCUGACGUUGAGGCACGAAAGUGUGGGGAGCAAACAGGAUUAGAUACCCGGGUAGUC